rnacentral:tRNA from 13 species
UGCCCCGGGUGAGGAUCGAACUCACGACCUUCAGAUUACUCUCUCGAGAGAUUAUGAGACUGACGCGCUGCCUACUGCGCUACCGAGGC